CCUUGAAAUCGGAGUGCUUGCACUCUGUGAAACAANNUACAGGCUAGCGGCGGACGGGUGAGUAACACGUGGGUAACCUGCCCAAGAGAUCGGGAUAACACCUGGAAACAGAUGCUAAUACCGGAUAACAACAGAUGAUGCCUAUCAACUGUUUAAAAGAUGGUUCUGCUAUCACUCUUGGAUGGACCUGCGGUGCAUUAGCUAGUUGGUAGGGUAACGGCCUACCAAGGCGAUGGUGCAUAGCCGAGUUGAGAGACUGAUCGGCCACAUUGGGACUGAGACACGGCCCAAACUCCUACGGGAGGCAGCAGUAGGGAAUCUUCCACAAUGGACGCAAGUCUGAUGGAGCAACGCCGCGUGAGUGAAGAAGGGUUUCGGCUCGUAAAGCUCUGUUGUUGGUGAAGAAGGACGGGGGUAGUAACCGACCUUUGUUUGACGGUAAUCAAUUAGAAAGUCACGGCUAACUACGUGCCAGCAGCCGCGGUAAUACGUAGGUGGCAAGCGUUGUCCGGAUUUAUUGGGCGUAAAGCGAGUGCAGGCGGUUCGAUAAGUCUGAUGUGAAAGCCUUCGGCUCAACCGGAGAAUUGCAUCAGAAACUGUCGAGCUUGAGUACAGAAGAGGAGAGUGGAACUCCAUGUGUAGCGGUGAAAUGCGUAGAUAUAUGGAAGAACACCGGUGGCGAAGGCGGCUCUCUGGUCNNNUACUGACG
rnacentral:rRNA from 1 species